GCAACCACCCUCGACGGAUGGUAGAGUCGUUACCCUGGAGUCAGAUGUUGAGGUAACACUGGAGAAAAGUUCCCAGAAUCGAUAGUCUUCACCAUCAUCUUCAUAGUUUCUUCCAUUCUAGGAGCUGGCAUCGCUACAGUUCAAUACAGAUUUAUGAUUCUCCAUUCUCAACCAUCAGAGAAGCAAUAUAUCAACUGCCAGAAAAUCCUAUUCGCCAUGGGAUGGCUCACG